UUCUUUUUACACACAUAAUUUUGCCGGCCUCAAGAUGGACACAUCUAUGUCCCCUUCUCUCAGCGUACAAUUUUUUGUGACCAGCUCCUACCUCACCCUGAUUUCGUCUGGCCUACCCUUCCAUUUAUCCUUCAGCUCUCCUUCUGUCAUUUCCUUAACGAGGCCUUUUUGACACACCGUACUCCAACUCAAUGUAAAUCAGACCCCAAACUGUCUGAAUGAAUGGCAAGAUCCAGAGCACAGAUAGAGGAAAUGAACUUGGCCAGGAAAGACUCUUUUCCGCUGUCACGGGACAAAAGAAUGUGAACAAACUCAGACAGGAUGCAGGAGUUUCAGAUGAUUGCCUUUAUUGCUCUACAACCUUUACAGUUGUCCCCCAAACCUGUGCGUUAUCCCAGUGCCUUAAAAAACAGUAAUUCAAUCCAACCACUCUUCUCUCACCUUCUUGCAGUUUACCUAACUGACUACUCCCAUUGCACUCGUUUUACACGUUUUUACUCCAAUUUCCCCAUCUCCACCCAUUCCUCCUACCUUCAUUUUCCUUCCUAUGUAUGAUACCUCAUUUCAACCUCUCUUUUGCCAACAUCCUAAGUUUUUUGCCCCCUUGUCUUUUGGUUACACCCCUCUAGAAAUCCACAGUCCUGAAAUGAAUUCCAUUAUCCAUUUAGGCCACAGAUUAUUAUUGUGGAAAUUGCAUGAACAGGCAGAAUGUGGUCACUGUACAUUCACAGCCUACUGCUUCAGCAGGCCCUUGGCACACCCGGGCUCCUACUAUGAUGUUUUGAAGGCACAUUUUCACCACCUGCAGUGACUAUUUCAAACUUCCUCCACCCCUCUCAAACCCUCAGCCUCCCCAGACAACCUCACUCUCUGCAGAUAGUCUUGCCUCCAGAUUCACAGAGCAAAUAAAGGAUUACUAGCACAAAACUGAAUUGAAUAUUUUAAAUAUUUAAUAUAAUUUAAUAACUAAUAGAGAAGAGCUAGAAAAGAUACUUCUUAUUCAUAGUUUAUUCAAAUAUUUAGUAUUGCCUGUUUGGGAAGUAUCCAGAAUCUGUAUCCUUAGAUUGUUCUAUUUAUUUUAAACCUCCUCAAAUAUCUCCAUUCUGGAAACUUCUCUGGCUAAGGCAGAAUGGAGAGGAAGGAUCUGAUACAAUAAAUGAUCUUUGUUUAGAAAUUAACUGGAAUAUGGGGAUCAGUAGAAAAGGAAGAACACAGAAUGUCUCAGAACAUCCUUCCUGAACAAAGACAGAUGGAUAAAGGAGGAGGACCAGUUUGGGGAGUGUGUGGCUGGAUUAUCCAGAGGCAUGUUCGUGGGGCAGUUAAAAGAAGUGGACCUGCCUGAAGUCAUUUAGUAAUUUGAGCACCCCUAAAAGAGAGAUGACCAGACAUAAGCACCCUGAUUCCAUGCAAGAGGACCCCCUUGUCCUCCCAACUAACUAAACCUUAAUUUAAUAAUACUUUCAGAUCUAAUUUCCAGUCUACAAGAAAUGUGUGGGAUAAGGAAAUAAGUUAAAAACAAAAUAAGAAAGCAAUCAGCCAAAUCUAUAGAAUGGGGGAUAUUCUACAUGACAAACAAUCUGUUCAAGAAGAAUGGGAACAUGAAAGAGAUUUAAGAGACAUCAAAACAAAUUCAACUCAGCUUAUACUUCUCCUGCCCAAACUCUGGAGCCAGCUUGCUCUCCAAGGAGCCCUUGACUGACUGACUUUUUAACAAAUCCAAGGAAUACAUUAGUGAAGGCAAGUCCUAGCCUUCAGCUGAAGUCUUUGUGAUCAGUCCCAGUUUGACACUUGAUGCUGGCCAUCAGUUCUGAAUUUUGUCUUCUGAAGAACCCUUUACUUUUGGACCAUUCAGUCCAGGAUCUAAUACAGUUCCCAGGAUCCUUCCCAAGAUUUCAGUCAGGCUUCUUAGGCUCACAACAGGACCUCAUCUUCCAGACAGCCACCACAGAUGCCAUCACUUUCAAAGCACGUAGCUGUUCUGCAUGGUAAUGUGAGCAUGAUCAGCUUCACCUCUUAAUCCUCUUCCUCAGAGACAGCAGUUAGUUCCCAAGGUCUGAACUUGGCACUGGGAGAAGGUUGACCUCUAGUGUCUUUUCCCAUUGGUUUGACCUCUUAAUCCCUAAGCCAUCCUGACCAGAAGAGGGAGUAGUUCCAACAGGAACCUUGAGCUCAGGCAUUAGUCUUCCCAAACUCCUGCUGUUACCUGGCCUUUUCAAAUGGAUCCCUGCCCCAGUUUCCCACUUGACACAGACUGCUUUACUAAAUUCUUACUGUUUAACAAGAUUAGGAGUAAUGACCUUUUCCUCUCACCUUUUGAAGUAAUAUGUGUAAAGCAAAAUGUUUAUGUUUAUGAAGUCACCCAUCUUUCUGUCAAGAAACAAAGGUUUUUAAAAAAUUAGAACCAGUAUAUUUGUAUUUAUAUUUACUUUCUGGUAUUCUGAUUCUCAUCUCUAUGAAGGGUAUCUACCAGAAACCUGUAUCAAACUUCCAAGAUCAUGCACAAGAGGUAAACGUGCCCUGUAAUGUUGAGAACAACUCAAGGAGAGCUGCUAUGACUGCUAAAGUUUUGCAAAUUUCUGCUAAUGUAAGAAGACAAGAAAAAGAAAUAGGAUGACUGAAUAUUGAGAAGAAAAAGGCAAAACUAUUAUUUAUAGAUAAAUACCAGAAAAUGUAAGGUGUAACACAUUAAGAAACUAUUCAAAAUAAUGAAAAAAUUUCAAUAAAAUCUACA